ensembl:lncRNA
AUGAGUACUAUAGAACACAACAUAAGGAAAGUGACAAGGAAAUUGAAGGGAAUGGAUCAAAGGCCCAGCCAACCAAGGUUCCUAAUGAAAAGUGUCACCUGGAGGCUGGGAGCCAGGAGUAUGGAACCAGACAACACGACAUUGCAGGAAGUGUUCCUCAGCAGAGCGCCUCAUCCAGGGAGAGCCUGGCAGCAGAUUCCAGCUCAUAAUGAGCCCCAGGACUGCAGUUCCUCUGAAUGUCUGUUCCACCCAUUGAUGACCGUGGCAACAGCACGACAGGUUGUGCUUCUGAGACAGAUGUGAUCUUACUCUCCUUGUGAUUUAUUCUCUAGCAUCCAGUGAUUGUAAGCAUUAAUGAGAAUUAUGGAUGCUUUCUCAAUCUUAUAAGCCCCCCAAGUGAACCCCCCUUCAGUGAUGCAAGUCUUGCUAGUCAGUUGUGAUCUCUUACUGAUGUUUGCACAGAAAUGUAAAUUCCUUAUGGAAUUUGGUUCUGGUGGGGGUUUUUUGUUUGUUUGUUUGUUUUAAAGAUUUUACUCAUCCAUUUGACAGACAGACAGCCAGUGAGAGAGGGAACACAAGCAGGGGGAGUGGGAGAGGAAGAAGCAGGCUUCCAGCGGAGGAGCCUGAUGUGGGGCUCGAUCCCAGAACUCCAGGAUCACGCCCUGAGCCGAAGGCAGCCACUUAAUGACUGAGCCACCCAGGUGUCCCUGGAUCUGGCGGUUUUGGACUGAAACUCUUCAUCACGGGGCUAGGGUGCAGAAAAGAAGCUCUCUUCCUCAGAAGAAAUUUUGGGCAUUAUGAAGUCUAAAUAAGUCCCCUUUCAGAGUUUGAUGUGAGGUGUGUGUUUUCCAACAGCCACCUGGCUUAGUUGGGGCUUGCUUUACAACAAGCAAACAUCGCUAGUAACUUUGUUACAAUCUAUCAAAGUCAUUGAGAAUUGGGUACGUUCUCUCCCACACAAUUAGAAAAAAUAAUCUAAACUAGGAAAAAGUAUUUGGAAAAAUGGAUGAUUUUGUUUAUUUGCAGCAAAAUUUCAAAACCUGGGAAGAUCAAACAUGGAAAUCAUAGCUAGAUAUCACAGGUUGUGCUGGCCAGAGGUCGCUGUGAAACAAUAGAGAAACACAGGACUUGCAGUAAUAAGACCUGAGGUCAAGUCUCAAUUCUACCAUUUACUAGUUGUGUGAUUUUAGGUGUCCAGAUUUCUGAGCUCUUGUCCCCUUCUUUGUAAAAUAGAGGUGGCAUGUAUUUGUUCCUCAAGGGUUACUGUUAACAACAAUGAGAUAAUGAAUGCAAAAACACUUUUAAAACUGUGAAUAUUCAAUGUUAGUGCUUAAUUAACGGCUGUUCUAGACUGUUACCUUGAAAGUCCCAAAGAACCAUGUCUUCUGGAAUUCACGCCCUGGUACCGUCCCAUCUAUACCGAUGGCUUGGCCACAUGACUUGUUUCGGCCAAUGAGAUAGUAGCAAACGCGACACAAGUGGAGGCUCGAUGAGCACUUGCAAAUAGGAGCCUGUCCUCUUAGAAUCUCCACCUUGUAAAGAAGCUUGGGCUAGACUUCUCAAAAAUGAAAGGCCACAUGGGAAGAGAUUUCCAAGGAUGAAAGACUGCCUCGCACAUUCCAGUCCCAGCCAAACUCCUCACCAGAUGGAGGCACAUAAAUGAGCUUCUGUUAUCCUGUGUGGAGCGCGUGAACCCAGUGGCUGAGUCAAGUCAACCCGCAGAAUCACGAGAAAUGACAAAUCGUUAUUGUUUUAAGUUUUGGAGUGGUUUAUUAUGCAGUCAUAUGUAACUGAAAUAAUAGCUCUAAGAGAACGGGAAGUUGGAAUUGAUUUGAUAUGAAAUCAAGAAGAAGGCCUGGAGAAUAAGGUGUCGUUGGUUGAAUACAUGAGAAUAAAAUAGGUUUUCCUGCAUAAUCGGACA